rnacentral:rRNA from 1 species
CCUACGGGUGGCAGCAGUGAGGAAUAUUGGUCAAUGGGCGGGAGCCUGAACCAGCCAAGUCGCGUGAGGGAAGACGGUCCUAUGGAUUGUAAACCUCUUUAGGCGGGGAGCAAUGCCGGGCACAUGUGCCCGGAGGGAGAGUACCCGCAGACUAAGCAUCGGCUAACUCCGUGCCAGCAGCCGCGGUAAUACGGGGGAUGCGAGCGUUAUUCGGAUUUAUUGGGUUUAAAGGGUGCGGAGGCGGAUUUUUAAGUCAGCGGUAAAGUGUCCGGGCUCAACCCGGGCCGGCCGUUGAAACUGGGGAGCUUGAGUGGGCGAGAAGUAUGCGGAAUGCGUGGUGUAGCGGUGAAAUGCAUAGAUAUCACGCAGAACUCCGAUUGCGAAGGCAGCAUACCGGCGCCCGACUGACGCUGAGGCACGAAAGCGUGGGGAUCGAACAGGAUUAGAUACCCCUGUAGUC